rnacentral:rRNA from 1 species
CACGUAGGGGGCAAGCGUUGUCCGGAUUCAUUGGGCGUAAAGAGCUCGUAGGCGGUUCGAUAAGUCGGGUGUGAAACCUCCAGGCUCAACCUGGAGACGCCACCCGAUACUGUCGUGACUAGAGUCCAGUAGGGGAGCGUGGAAUUCCUGGUGUAGCGGUGAAAUGCGCAGAUAUCAGGAGGAACACCGGUGGCGAAGGCGGUUCUCUGGGAAUAUCCUGACGCUGAGGAGCGAAAGUGUGGGGAGCGAACAGG